rnacentral:rRNA from 1 species
GACGAACGCUGGCGGCGUGCUUAACACAUGCAAGUCGAACGGAAAGGCCCUGCUUUUGUGGGGUGCUCGAGUGGCGAACGGGUGAGUAACACGUGAGUAACCUGCCCUUGACUUUGGGAUAACUUCAGGAAACUGGGGCUAAUACCGGAUAGGAGCUCCUGCUGCAUGGUGGGGGUUGGAAAGUUUCGGCGGUUGGGGAUGGACUCGCGGCUUAUCAGCUUGUUGGUGGGGUAGUGGCUUACCAAGGCUUUGACGGGUAGCCGGCCUGAGAGGGUGACCGGCCACAUGGGGACUGGGAUAGGGCCCAGACUCCAACGGGAGGCAGCAGUGGGGAAUAUUGCACAAUGGGCGGAAGCCUGAUGCAGCAACGCCGCGGGCGGGAUGACGGCCUUCGGGUUGUAAACCGCUUUCGCCGGUGACGAAGCGUGAGUGACGGUAAUGGGUAAAGAAGCACCGGCUAACUACGU